rnacentral:rRNA from 1 species
GAUGAACGCUGGCGGCGUGCUUAACACAUGCAAGUCGAACGAACCUUCGGGUUAGUGGCGGACGGGUGAGUAACGCGUGAGAAUCUGCCCUCAGGAGGGGGAUAACGGCUGGAAACGGCCGCUAAUACCCCAUAUGCCGCGAGGUGAAACGAAUUUCGCCUGAGGAUGAGCUCGCGUCUGAUUAGCUAGUUGGUGGGGUAAAGGCCUACCAAGGCGACGAUCAGUAGCUGGUCUGAGAGGAUGAUCAGCCACACUGGGACUGAGACACGGCCCAGACUCCUACGGGAGGCAGCAGUGGGGAAUUUUCCGCAAUGGGCGAAAGCCUGACGGAGCAACGCCGCGUGAGGGAUGAAGGCCUCUGGGCUGUAAACCUCUUUUUUCAAGGAAGAAGAUCUGACGGUACUUGAAGAAUAAGCCACGGCUAAUUCCGUG